GACUGUUUGAUAACAUUGAGAUCAAAGGAGGAAAGGGAUAAGAUUUUGGGCCUACAUCCCAAAAUCUUAUCCCUUUCCUCCUUUGAUCUCAAUGUUAUCAAACAGUCU